UACCCCCGCGAUGCUUAGAGAUAAGGCGGAGUAUCGGGGAGACAGGUGGUGCAUGGUUGUCGUCAGCUCGUGUCGUGAGAUGUUGGGUUAAGUCCCGCAACGAGCGCAACCCUAUUGCUAGUUACCAUCAUUAAGUUGGGGACUCUAGCGAGACUGCCAGUGAUAAACUGGAGGAAGGUGGGGAUGACGUCAAAUCAUCAUGCCCCUUAUGACCUGGGCUACAACACGUGCUAACAAGUGGUCGGUAACAAAAGGGGUUGCCAAGACCGCGAGGUGGAGCUAAGUCCCAUAAAAACCCGAAAUCGUAGUCCGGAUCGUCGAGUCUAGGCAACUCGAACUGCCGUUGAAGUACGGAAGUCGUCUAGUAAUACGCGCGAUCAGCCAUGGCGCGGUGAAUACGUUCCCGGGCCUU
rnacentral:rRNA from 1 species